GCUCUAGGAGCCCGGCAGGCCCGAGCAGGUGGCGGCCCCGUGUUCCGGAAGCCCGGCCCCGAGCGUUGUGAGGGGCACCUGGGGACGCUCAGCGAGUGUCUGUCCCGGCCCUGAGCUCGGUGGAAGACUGCAGAGUCCUGGGCCCGCGAGAAUUCCGGCAGAAUCAGGCCUCUGGACGCUCCAGGGAUGUGUCCUGGUUCCCUGGCUGUUAUUACGAAGCAGCAGUUCAGAUCCGUGGAACUUCUCGACUGUUCUGCCUCACGGUGACUUGAUCCAUCAGCUGAACAGUACAGCAUCUGAUUAAAUUUUAGAGAGAUUGUGCAUGCAGCUCUGGCUGUGGACCUGUGGCAUCGUGAUGACCUGGGAUCAUCAGGUAGCAGAAGGCCAUUCCCUUUGGUGCCUCUCAUUCCCUGUGUGCUGGCCAGCACAUCAUUACGCCUGAUGGAAGGCUCUGCCAGGCCCUUCCCCACCGAGGGCCUCAUCAAGCUUCCUUGACAGGUGGAGGUGAAGGUCAAGUGCAGAGCCCUCCUGGCACAUCCAGUGCUCUCUCUGUCAUGGAGAGGGCUGAGGAGGGAGAAUGGUGCUUCCAGGAAAGCAGAGCUGAGGCCCGCUGGACUCCAGGCAGCUCUCUGCUCUCCUUGCCUUUUGCCUCAGAUUUUUGCAUGUCAGUCGGUCUGGAGAGGAGCCGAUGCUCUGAAGGUGCUGCCUGGCUCUGAACUAUGGAAGCCAAGAGCUCUGGUGGGGUAGGAACUGAGGGUCCACUACAUUUGCCCCAAGAAGAACAUCCUUGCUGGCCUCGCUGAGGGAGCCUGGCACGUGUCAUGCUUGACAAUUGUUUUCAUGAGACUCCCCUGCUUUGACGGCGACAGGGCACGGGGCCCUGAAUGCAUGAUAACAACAACUGCAGGUCCCCUGACCCUUGUUUGUAGAGGCGGGUCAUCUCUAGUACCGACCUCCAUCCACCUGAGAAGCAAGGCUGGCCACUUUGCCACCAGCCCCAGCCCUGCCCUGGAGGGAUCUGCAGUGUAAAGGCACCGUGUGAAUGCUGAUUGUUGCGAAGGCCCAAAUGUGGUCAAUUCAGUUAUUCAUACCAGGCAAGGAAGCUGCCUUAUGAAUAAUUCAGAG